AACACGAGGAAGGCGCUGCUUCGCGUUCACAUGAAAAUGUGGUAGUGUGAAAUCAAGUUUGCAAGCGGUAGGACGCGUCGGUGUGUGUCCGUUUUUUCUCUCGUGAAACCAGUACGGAAAAACUAUUUGAAAUCGUAACACACGCACGAACGGAAGUGAGCACGGACCACGAUAGAAAUAAUUAAUUGGUUGCAGUGCCAAAAACAAAAGGACAGGAGAGGCAGGAACGAUCAUUCAACGCGUUAGCGCCGGACGAAGGAGAAGCGGCAGGAAGGCAGGAACGAUCCCCCAACGUGCUCGCGAAGGCAGGAACGCGCCUGGUAGAGGAGAGGCGGCAGGAAGGUAGGGACGAUCAUCCAGCACGCUAGCGCAGCACUUGGGAACAGCGAGGGGGAGGCAAGCAGGAAUAAUUUUUAACGCGUGCACACCAUUCGACGAAGACAACGCUGGAUGAAAGGAAGAACGAGGAGAGAAGGCAGGCAAGACGGGUAUGUGUGUAUUCCGCACCGGUUUUCGGCAGUGUGAAUUGUGUGAGUAUGUAAAUUUGUAUGUGCGAGUAAGAAGGUAAAAUAAAGAGCGUAAGCAUGUACGGAAUCGACAAAUGAGAGAAAGAGCUUUGUAGGGAGAAUGAAGAGAAUGAAAGAAAUUGAGAAGGGAUGUAGCAUACAUAAACCAAAUGUAUGAUACACGCUGUCGCACGAUUUCAAAAACCUUCUCUAUAGUUCUGCUAUCGAGAACGAUUUGACCGCGCUAUAGAGAACACUUUUUCUAUACAAAAAAAACCGCUUGCAACGUGACAAUGUCGGUUGGGAGGAGA